CCUACGGGUGGCACCAGUGGGGAAUAUUGCACAAUGGGUGCAAGCCUGAUGCAGCCAUGCCGCGUGUAUGAAGAAGGCCUUCGGGCUGUAAAGUACUUUCAGCGGGGGGGAAGGUGUUGUGGUUAAUAACCGCAGCAAUUGACGUUACCCGCAGAAGAAGCACCGGCUAACUCCGUGCCAGCAGCCGCGGUAAUACGGAGGGUGCAAGCGUUAAUCGGAAUUACUGGGCGUAAAGCGCACGCAGGCGGUCUGUCAAGUCGGAUGUGAAAUCCCCGGGCUCAACCUGGGAACUGCAUUCGAAACUGGCAGGCUAGAGUCUUGUAGAGGGGGGUAGAAUUCCAGGUGUAGCGGUGAAAUGCGUAGAGAUCUGGAGGAAUACCGGUGGCGAAGGCGGCCCCCUGGACAAAGACUGACGCUCAAGUGCGAAAGCGUGGGGAGCAAACAGGAUUAGAUACCCGCGUAGU
rnacentral:rRNA from 1 species